rnacentral:rRNA from 1 species
UACGGGGGGGGCAAGCGUUGUUCGGAAUUACGGGGCGUAAAGGGCUCGUAGGUGGCCAACUAAGUCAGACGUGAAAUCCCUCAGCUUAACUGGGGAACUGCGUCUGAUACUGGAUGGCUUGAGUUUGGGAGAGGGAUGCGGAAUUCCAGGUGUAGCGGUGAAAUGCGUAGAUAUCUGGAGGAACACCGGUGGCGAAGGCGGCAUCCUGGACCAACACUGACACUGAGGAGCGAAAGCCAGGGGAGCAAACGGG